rnacentral:rRNA from 1 species
CGGGGGGCAGCAGUAGGGAAUAUUGGACAAUGGGCGAAAGCCUGAUCCAGCAAUGCCGCGUGAGUGAUGAAGGCCUUAGGGUCGUAAAGCUCUUUUACCAGGGAUGAUAAUGACAGUACCUGGAGAAUAAGCUCCGGCUAACUCCGUGCCAGCAGCCGCGGUAAUACGGAGGGAGCUAGCGUUGUUCGGAAUUACUGGGCGUAAAGCGUACGUAGGCGGUUAUUCAAGUCAGAGGUGAAAGCCCGGGGCUCAACCCCGGAACUGCCUUUGAAACUAGGUAGCUAGAAUCUUGGAGAGGUCAGUGGAAUUCCGAGUGUAGAGGUGAAAUUCGUAGAUAUUCGGAAGAACACCAGUGGCGAAGGCGACUGACUGGACAAGUAUUGACGCUGAGGUACGAAAGCGUGGGGAGCAAACAGGAUUAGAUACCCGAGU